CUCGUAGGCGGCCAACUAAGUCAGACGUGAAAUCCCUCGGCUUAACCGGGGAACUGCGUCUGAUACUGGAUGGCUUGAGUGUGGGAGAGGAAUGCGGAAUUCCAGGUGUAGCGGUGAAAUGCGUAGAUAUCUGGAGGAACACCGGUGGCGAAGGCGGCAUUCUGGACCAUUACUGACGCUGAGUGAGCGAAAGCCAGGGGAGCAAACG
rnacentral:rRNA from 1 species